GGUUGGGCCGAUAGACGAUUCCAUCGUCCAUCGCCGAUGGCUGAUAGACAUCACGAUGCUGCGCCGGCAAACAGCGUCAUGAGCUCCAGUAUCUCGUGCGUGCAUCCGUGGUUGCCCAGGCUUUGGGUUAAAGGAGCCACCGGUAUUUGGUCCUGUUGUUUUUUUCUCAAAAACCGGCAGCCGCUGACUUGCAUUUAAGAAUCACCAAGGGCAACGGUUUCACCUAAAAACCUUUACUGUUCUACUGCAAAAACCUUGGAUGACCUGAGGAUCACUAUUGCACACCAAAUACUCUUACUCAGCAGAUGGGGACAGCUACCAUCACCCAAUUUACACCCAAAAGUGGCUGCGCUAUGCGCCAGACCGGGGCAGGAGGGACUGGGCGACAACUUAUGCAGGCAUCAGAUGACAGUGAAGUGUAAAUAAAGAGUAGAGAGGCUAAUAAACAUUAAUUUGAUUUUAAA